rnacentral:lncRNA from 1 species
GCACUUGGCCACAUUCCUUUCCAGGAAGGUCAGUACACUUUGCUGACAGCCGGCAAGGCAAGAGACUGAAAUACCUAAGUGAAUUAGUUAAGUUGCAAUUGUAGCCUCCCAUAAGACUGAAGCAGGCUGAGCCAGACCUUGACCUUGCUGCCACUAAGGAGAUUAUCUAGGGUGGAGCCUUCCUCCCUAGAAGAUCACUCUAUUGUUCUGCCACUAAGGCUGUUUGUCUUCAAGAUACUGCUACCUGCUGAGAGGCCCCGAGCUAUUCCGGAGACUGGAGACUGCGCCCUAUCCUGAACGUCUUCACCUGCAGCUGGUUCCAGGCCCCAAGGAUGAAUUGGCGGGAAUGGACUCCCCCGCCACCUCUUUUAUAAAGCGUGUCCGCCAUUAAACAUUUGAACCUUGA